rnacentral:rRNA from 1 species
AAUGAACGUUGGCGGCAUGGAUUAGGCAUGCAAGUCGGGGGAAUCCCAGCAAUGGGGGAACCGGCGUAAGGGGCAGUAAGGCAUGGGUACCUACCUUGGGGUUCGGGAUAGCCAUCAGAGAUGGUGGGUAAUACCGGAUGACGUCGUGAGACCAAAGAUUCGUCGCCCUUAGAGGGGCCCAUGUGAUAUUAGCUAGUUGGUGGGGUAACGGCCCACCAAGGCGAAGAUGUCUAGCGGGUGUGAGAGCACGACCCGCGCCACUCGCACUGAGACACUGGCGAGACACCGACGGGUGGCUGCAGUCGGGGAUUUUCGGCAAUGAGCGCAAGCUUGACCGAGCGAUGCCGCGUGAGCGAUGAAGGCCUUCGGGUUGUAAAGCUCUUUAGUGGGGGAGAAAAGCCGCAAGGUGUGAUCUAUCCCAAAAAUAAGCACGGGCUAAGUUCGUGCCAGCAGCCGCGGUAA